AGAGGGCUCACAGUAACGAAGAAAGCACCAAGCACUGGCUGGGAGCUGAGACCUCUGACUGCUCAGAACAAACCAAAGAGAUUAAACUUUAUGUAAGGAGCAACAACCAGAACAGCUGCCUUUUAUAGAAAGGCCGUCUGCAAUGGAUGCGCCCACUUCCUGGUCCCUCAGCCCCAGCUGUCACUUUUCAACCCACUACAAUGAAGUCUCCGUUUCCACGGAAAACGCUCUUAUGGAGGUGAACGGCCUCCCAAUGGCCAAAGGUGAGACGGCUUCCCGGCUUCUCUCCUGAGCUCUGUAGAACCUCACGCUGGCCCCUCUCCCGUGGCCUGACUCCCUCCUAGUGCGGCUUCCAGCUCCCCAUCCUUUCUGUUCCCUCCCACACACCUGACCGCUGUUUUCCUCCAGCAUCCCCUUCUGAUCGGCUCUUCCACCUUCUCCCAGGAUUCUCCUCAUCCAAACCCACAGCCAGGGCUUCCCCAGUGUCAAGCACCAGGCUACCCUCUCUUCUGGGUGCCAGACCCACACAUCCUGCGAGCUGGUGCGCUUCUCCCCCUGAGUGCCCCGUAGGCCCCUCAAACUCAACGAGUCAGCUCCAUGAAGUGGGGGCCAAACUGCUCUGUGGGUCACCCUCGAUCCUAAGACCCUAAUGCGGCAUGUGGCAUGCCAUUGGCAUUCCAUAAAUGACUGUUGAAUGUUCCAAACCAAAUUCAUUGAUUUUUCCCUUAAAAUUGCCUCUCUUCUUGGAAUCCCCAUCUCAGUGAAUGACACCAUCCAAUCAUCCAAGUCGAGUCCUUAGGUCAUCCUAGCUGUCCCUUCCCCACCUCCCCACCCAGCAUCCAUUCAGUGUCAAGCUGUGCAGCUCUCAUCUCCAUAACGUUCCUUGUGCCAGAUCCCUCCUGCCCAACCCAGAACCACCACCUUGCGGGAGGCUCUCACAUCUGAACGUGAGCAGCAUGACCGCCUCCUUUAGACCUUCCACCCCUGGUCUGGCAGCCUCAGAUUCACUGCCCCAGGAUCCUCACACUCUGACCCCAUCUGCCUCUCUAGGUAGAAUGCAGGGGACUAGAUGGGGAGCCAGUCUGGUUGGGGGAUCAGGAGACUUCUGUGAGGAAGUGCCUAUUGAGAUGACCUCUGCAAGAUAGUAGGAGGUGGUUAGGCAAAGACCUGUGGGGUGGCAGAGGGCAGAGCAGCAAGCAUUACAGAGGAAACAGGUGUCCAAGGGUUCUAAGGUUGGCAGGGGCACAGCACGUUCUAGAAGCUACAAGACAGCCGGUGUGGCUGGAGCCCAGGCAGCAAAAUGCAGCAUCUGGCCAGAUGAGGCUGCAGGGGAAACAGGGACCGGAUGGCCCAGGGGCUGGGGAUGCAGGCAAGAAUUUUAGUUUCUACUUCAGAACACCAGGAAGCAGAAGAGUGACAUGAUCAAGUCUGCCUUUUGAAAAGAUCCCUCUUCAAAAAUGCUUAGUUAAUGAAGUAAUGAUGGAUAAUUUCCUAACAUGAUAAAAUGCAGAUAUCGCAACCAAAAUUCAGCAUUUAGAAAGGGAACACUAGUCGCAUUUCACUAUUGAAAAGCAAGACACAAUGUCCGCUAUCAUUGUUCUUUGAGGAGCUGGCCAACAUAAUUGGGUGAGAAAGAAAUUAGAGAUUUAAAAAUGAGGAAAAAAGAGGUACAGCUCUCACUAUUUGCAUAUGAUAUGCCUAUACAGCUAAAAACCCCCAAAGAAUCCAUUAAGAAACUACUCAAACCAUAAGAGAAUUCAGUAGGGUGGUAGAAGCAAGUUAAUAUGUAGAAAUCAAUAACUUGCUUGUAUAUGAACAAUAACCAGUUUCAAGAGAUAUUAGAAGGAAAGGCCUCCAUUUAUAAUAGAAGCAAGAGGGUGAAAUUAACAGUAAAUGAAACAAGAGUUGUACAAGAUCCUUAUGAAGAGAAUUUAAAUUAACCUGAGGGACGCAGAAAACUUGAUGUCCAUUCCUGGACAGGAAGAUUCAACAAUAAGACAAUGUCAAUGCUUCCUAAAUUAAUCUAUAAACAUAAUGCAACCCCAAUAAAAAUAACAAUGGGAGUCUUAAACAUCAGAACACUCUUGAUUUUGGAGUUUAUAUGAAAAGCUCCCUCUGGCUGCAGUGUGGCUGGCUAUGGACUGAAGAGUGAGAGUGGGCGGGCUGGCGGGUGACCUAGGACACCUGGCAGGGAUCCUGCUGAAGAAGCUGGGCCCAGCUGACUCUGGGGCCUGGGGUGGGGUUGGGGACGCAGUGAAGGGCACAUUUGAGAGAUAUUUCUAUGGAGAAAUUCCCAGGCCGUUGUGAUUGAUUGGAUAGGGGAGGUGAGAAAGAGAAGUCAAACCAGGACUCCCGGUUUGUUCAUUUAAUCAUUAAUCGAAUCUCCUGCAAACUUAUCCCCAUGUUACUAAAAUCACUGCUCGGGGCAGGGUUUCUGGGCCCCCAGACAGAUUUCACAAGAACCUCCAGAAAGGCUUUUUAACCAGUUGUUUGUUCAUAGCCAAGCGAAGCACCACGUUUGCUCUCUGACUCUGCUAAUCAGGUGUUCCGCUUAGAGCUUUGGAGAACAGGACGGCUUCAAGCUCAGAAAGCCUCAGAAAGACACUUGUUCUCUCCCUAUCUGUGCUGUCAGUCCCCCUUUUGAUUCAAAAUCGCACCACCAAAAAAUAGGGCAGUGAUUGUGUUUGAGUUUGACCUCGUCAGAUUCAACGUUUACUUGAGCUGUGGCUUGACAUCUCCAUACUGCCUUCACUCUUCUUUAAUAAACAAAUAAGUCCUGAAGGCAAAACAAAAUUUCUCACCACCACUGGCAUACCAUUUUAUCACAGCAAUAUCCCUUUAAGGUUUGCCUUUUUUCCCCUCUGUUCAGAAUUCUUUUCAACACAUUUUUCAGACAGAACAAAGUGAGUUUAAAUAUAUCACACAGUGGCUGCCUCUCAAACAUCUACAGAAAUCAUUUCAGUGAAUGUGUUGUUUGAUAUGAAAAAGAAGUGUAUUUGGUUUGGGUGCGAACAGACUGUUAUGCAAAGCACGCAUCUGUUAAAACUCAGGUGAAAUAAGCCGAAGCUUUGGAUGGGACAAGUUGAGGCCCAGCUUACCUCAAGCGCCUGCCAGGCUGGGCUUUGUUUGGGAGCUACACAAGCGCUGAUGGAUGCCUGAACCAGUGUGCUCUGAAACCUCAUAUUGCACACGAAUCGCCUGGGGGGUCAGAGUCUGCAGGUCUGGGGUGGAACCUGAGAUUCUGCUUUUCCAAUGAGCUCCUACACGAUGCCAUCCUCCAAAUCCACAGAUGGCACCUGGAGUGGUGAGAGUUUAAAUCGGCUCAGCAAGUUGGAAGCCACAUUUCUCAAGGAUUAGCCUGUAGGUUGGGAUGCAUUCUCCUUGCUUACAAAACAGAGAUUUUGCCACCGUCUUAUGUCAAACAACUUCAGAUCUAACAAGUGGAUGUUUUCAAGUCUCUUCAGACUAUAAUAUUUGGAGGUCAGAAUACCCAAUCUCAGUGUUAUACAUGCCGAAAAUUCAUACCUGGAAAAUCCCGCAAUGCUUAGUAAACCCUCACCAAUUUGGAUUAAAUAAAAGGGGAACUUUAUUUAUGAAAUUUUAAAAAUAUAAUCCUGCUUAUUACUUUCAUCUGCUUCCCUAGGGAUAAUGUUAUUAUACCUCAUUUGCACUAAGAAAAAAAAGUCUAGGUCUUCCCAGCACCCUGCCGCACCAUAUGAAUAAUCACAAAUUCCAAAUAAAAGGAAAAGGAUUUUCAAGAGUCCUCCUACAUUUAAAAUUAAAAGGUCCCUAAAACUUACAAUAUCUGUGUCAGUUCCUUCAGCUGUGACUAUCCGGCCAGUGGGGCUUCAUUCAUCCCAUUUUUGAGGUGGGAAAAUUAAGGCCUAAAGUCACAUGAAAAGUCAGUAGAACUCAAAGUCAAUGCCACUUUGGGGACCUUAUUAAGCUAAGGAAUAUCAACAACAAUAACUUUUACCCAUUCAAGUGCCAGCUGCCUUGAGGGAAGGUUUGUGUCUCCUGACAAGCAUAUGAUCUCAGUCUAGUUUGUUUGGCCUGGAAAACAUUUUCCUUAUCGACUGAAAAGUAGAAUGCAUGAGAAAGAGUAAAUGAACUGCUUUUUAAAAAGAGGGGAAGUAAAGUUAGUAAAGCACACACAUUUCAGCUGCUUUUCCUAUAACUACACAGAUCUGUGCUCCUUGACCCAAAAGGCCAUCGGGACAGAUUGUGGGAAGAGCCACUCUGUUUUGCAAAGAAGUAUAUAAAAUACAGAAUAAAAAGGUACAAAAUUUAAAAAUAUAAAAAGCACAGAAGGGGUCGAUACAAAUGCCUUGGGCAUGCUAUUACUGUACUAUCUCUUCCUCCUCCUGGUUAUCACAGAGAGGGCUUACCGUGCCCGUCCUGAUCAUGGAGAGUAGAAACCUUAAAACAUGGGGCAUCUUUAAAAAUCAUUAAAUGAAAACAGAGUGUAGAGUCUGCCACAUAGCAAGUGCCCAUGAGAAGCUUUCAGUUACCUCGGGUUCUAUGAAAACCAGUAACCUGCCACUGAUGGUCUUCCCACUGUCCUAUCAGAGCUGAUUGCUUCCCGGGGUAACGCUCCACUAGAGGCUGCUGAGUUUAGCUUCAUAAUAGCGAACGGGUCCCUUCUAUUCCUUUAAAUCUGGGAUGUGUGGGAUGGAAGUACAGAAUCCAGAAAUGGAGAUGGAAUUUUUUAAAAUCUGGAACAUUCAUUGAACAUGUAUGGGAAACAUCUGGCAGAGAAAAAAAAAAUACAAUUUGCAUUGUUUCUCUGACAGCAACCCUUGCACCAAUGUCCACAUCUAUCUUAACACAGAGAGUUUUCUGACAUCCCACCCUCAAUCCACCUUUCUGUGUUACUGUUAUCCCUUGAUUAAUAAAGCUAACCUAAGACUAUCCAGAGAAGAGCCUCCAGAUGCCUGGAAAUGCUCUGGAUGGGGCUGGGGAAAGCUACAGUCCAGCCGGUUGGAAAGGGCUCUCAACUGAGACCCAGGUACGUGGGUUCGAGUUUCCUCACCUCAUCAGUUUCUUACCUGCUAAGUGGAGCUAAAUCGCCUGCCCCUCAGAAUCGUUAUGAGGCUCUUGAAGCCUAGAACGAGUUCAAUACAUGCUGAGUGAAUGAAUGCAUCUUCAGAUGAAAUAAUUAUGUGAAACACACAAUCCAGGCCGGGCGCGGUGGCUCACACCUGUAAUCCCAGCACUUUGGGAGGCCAAGGCGGGUGGAUCACCUGAGCUCAGGAGUUCCAGACCAGCCUGACCAACAUGGUGAAACCCCGUCUCUACUAAAAACACAAAAAUUAGCCGGGCGUCAUGGUGGGUGGCUAUAAUCCCAGCUACUUAGGAGGCUGAGGCAGGAGAAUUGCUUGAACGCAGGAGGCGGAGGUUGCUGUGAGCCGGGAUUGUGCCACUGCAUUCCAGCCUGGGCGACAGAGCAAGACUCUGUCUCAAAAAAGAAAAAAGAAACACACAAUCCAAAUGUUAGUUGUUACUAUUCUUUUAGUGCUUUUCCAUUAAGGCUCUCAAAGCACAGUACACUGAGCAGUUUGCUUUUAUCUUUUUUUUUUUUUUUUUUUUUUUUUGAGACGGAGUCUGGCUCUGUAGCCCAGGAUGGAGUGCAGUGGCACGAUCUCAGCUCACUGCAAGCUCCGCCUCCCGGGUUCAUGCCAUUGUCCUGCCUCAGCCCCUCCGAAUAGCUGGGACUACAGGCGACCGCCACCACACCCAGCAAAUUUUUUUUUUAAUAUUUUUAGUAGAGACGUGGUUUCACCGUGGUCUCGAUCUCCUGACCUCGUGAUCCACCUGCCUCGGCCUCCCAAAGUGCUGGGAUUACAAGCGUGAGCCACCGCGCCCAGGCAGUUUGCUUCUAUCUUGACUUAUGGAAAACUUUUAGACUCCAAGCUCUUGGUAUAAAGUCUACUUGAUAUCAAUUCUGGGCUCUGCGGUCAUAAUAACACCCAUCUUUAUUUACAGUGCCCUUUUUUAGUAACACUGAGGAUUUGCUACAAAAAAAAAUAAACUGAAGUGCCUUACUAAAAAAGGUAUUACGUUAGUUCAGAUGUGUUCUGCUGCAAAGCAUCAGAAAACCUAACUGAAGCUAGCUUAACUCAGAUGAGGUGGGGUCAUCUGAGACCUCAGGCCCUCCCCUGAGCUGAAGAUCAGGACGGCUGCUCCUGAGGCCUACCGCACAGGGCUCUGUUGCCAAGGAAGAGGAGCGCAAUGUUUAGUGGAUAGGCAACCAACAAGGCCACUGCAGACACCUAACAGCACAUCUCUCCAUUCAAGCAGUGGCUCCCAUCCGUCCUUGAUGUUGUCUCUCUUUCUGAGUCAUUCGCUCCUACUAGGCUGAAAUGUGACCAAGUUCUGACCUAUGCUCGUAGAGAGCAACCUACUUCUAUAGAGUGAAGGAAGGGAAGUCAUUACUGAAAUGUGCUCAAAGCUGACCGAGGCCACUCAGUCGCACUGGUAAUGGCCCACCACUUCAAUGACUACACCUCCUCUCCUUCAUCAGUGCCUCAAUUCAGCCCACCACUUCAAUGACUACACCUCCUCUCCUUCAUUAGUGCCUCGAUUCAGCCCACCCCUUCAGUGACUAUACCUCCUCUCCUUCAUUAGUGCCUCGAUUCAGCCCACCCCUUCAAUGACUAUACCUUCUCUCCUUCAUCAGUGCCUUGAUUCAGCCCACCCCUUCAAUGCCUAUACCUUCUCUCCUCUCAUCAGUGCCUUGACUCAGCCCACCCCUUCAAUGACUAUACCUUCUCUCCUCUCAUCAGUGCCUUGAUUCAGCCCACCCCUUCAAUGACUAUACCUUCUCUCCUCUCAUCAGUGCCUCGAUUCAGCCCACCCCUUCAAUGACUAUACCUUCUCUCCUCUCAUCAGUGCCUUGAUUCAGCCCACCCCUUCAAUGACUAUACCUUCUCUCUCAUCAGUGCCUCGAUUCUGCUUUCCCACUGUGAGGGUUUUCAUUCCAUGCUAGAGACCUUAAAAUAACCUGGGGAGAUGGCAAAUAAGCACAUGAAAAGAUGCUCCAUGUCUCACGUCAUUAGGAAAUUGCAAAUUAAAACAACAGUAAGAUACUACUACACAUUUACUAGCAUGGCUAAAAUCCACAACACUGACAACACCAAAUGCUGACAAGGAUGUGGAGCAGCAGGAACUCUCAUUCACUGCCUAUGGAAAUGAAAAAUGGUGUAGCCACUUUAGAACACAAUGUAGUGGUUUCCUACACAGCUAAACACAGUCUUACCAUAUAUCCAGCAAUCACGUCCCCUGAAAACUUAUGUCCACACACAAACCUACCCAGGAAUGUUUAUGGAAACUUCAUUCAUAAUUGCCAAAAAUUGUAAGCAACCAAGAUGUCCUUCGUUAGGUAUAGAAAAACAAAUGGUGGUAUAUCCAUACAAUGGAAUAUUACUCAGCAAUACAAAGAAAUGAGCUAUCAAGCCACAAAAAGAUACAAAGGAACCUUGGAUGCACAUGGUUAAGUGAAAGAAGCCAAAUGAAAAGGCAACAUCUUGCAUGAUCCCAACUCUACGACAGUCGGGAAAAGACAAAACUAUAGAAACAGUAAAAAGACUAGUGGUUGCCAGACUUCGGGCAGAGGAUGGGGAGGGUGUAUGGGGAAUUUACAAGGCUAUUUUGUAUGAUACUGUACCAUACAGGGAAUUUAGAAGGCUUUUUUGUUUGAUACAGUAUCAUACAAAAUAGCCUUUCUGAUAUGAAAAAACUAUUUUGUAUGAAACUGUAAUGAUGGGCACAUGACAUUAGGCAUGACAUAAAUCCAUAGAAUAUACAACACAAAGAGUAAACCCUAAACUGUAGACUUUAGUUAAUAAUCAUGAAUCAAUAUAGGUUGAUCGAUUGUAACAAAUGUACCACACUAUCAUCACAGCCAAAGACUGGAGGGACAACCUCAGGAGGAAGACAGCAGGAAAUGAAAACUCAUUUCCGCCGACAUGGGGAUCCCACAGUCCCUAGAGGAGAAAAAUGGUUGAAUUCCCCAGUCCUAUUCCAAGCCUGCUGCUCCACAAAUGGCCCUAAACCUGCAAGUGCAUUUGAAUUGUAUCACAAGGACUACACUAUAUAUGACCUCCUAGCAUCUUAUAGUGCAAUCGUCCAGUACAAUUCUUCAGCAGUCCAAUAUAAUAACUGAAUUGCUAAAAGUUCCCUGAGUGCUUUCUACCCAGCUUAGUAACUCUGUCUUUAAAUAGCCUUAUCUUGGACAUAUGUGUGGGGCUCUGACUAACAAGGAAACAUACACCUGGUGGAUGAUUUGGAGAUGGGUCUAUUUGAAGAAGUUUGGCGCUACAUUCACUCACUAAAAUGUUUCUGGAAUACUGAACUGGGUAUUUGCUGAGAGAUGGGGAAUGGGUUGAGGAGGGUAGAACAUAGCUAUCUGUAUUUCAUUGUGUAGGAAAAUGGCACACUCGAAGUCUUGAAGCAAUUUAAUCAUUUAAAGGCCUCUCUGUGUUCCCAAAAUAUGAACAAGCCAUGUUUCCAGGCCUACGUUUUAUUAAACCUAUCAUUUUUCCCCACUGCUUUGGACAUCCUUCCUAGAUAAAGGGCACAGGCCUCUGAUAAUGAACAGUCAAAUAAAAACAUGUCCUGUUCCAUACAUCCUCUAGAAAGCAAAGUGCAACACACUCAGCUUUAUAGCCCACUUCUCGAACUGCUUAACCCUCGUUCAUGCCUGUAGGAGUAUAAAUUGGUUCCAUAUCUUCAUAAGUCAAUUUGGGAAUAUUCUGCAAACUUUUAAUGUAGCUUUAAAAUCGCUGACCCAGCAAUUCCAUUUGCAUGACUUCAUCGUUUUACCAAGUGUAAAAACUGACCUCUAACACACACUCCACCCUGACCUCUGAUGGGUUUGAGAAUGGGCCAUAAGACACGCGUGGGACAGGGCCUCCUCACUUCUGAGAAGGACCCAGGGGAAGCCACGGCCUCACCUUUUCCUGAUGUCAGGUCUGGAUGUGUCCCCUGGAGUCAGUGCAGCCAUCCUGGGACCAUGUGGGGUAAGUGCAGAGGAGGAAAGUGCCUGGGCCCCGAGACAUCGCUAAGCAGAUGGACCAACAGGUCCUGCAGUCGGCCUGACCCUGGGCUUCUUCGUCUUUUUUUUUUUUUUUUUGAGAUGGACUCUCGCUCUGUCGCCCAGGCUGGAGUGCAGUGGCACAAUCACAGGUCACUGCAAGCUCCGCCUCCUGGGUUCAGGCCAUUCUCCUGCCUCAGCCUCCUGAAUACCUGGGACUACAGGCACCCGCAACCACGCCCGGCUAAUUUUUUGUAUUUUUAGUAGAGACGGGGUUUCACCACAUUAGCGUGAUCCGCCCGCCUCGGCCUCCCAAAGUGCUGGGAUUACAGGCGUGAGCCACCAUGCCUGGCCUUCUUCGCCUUUACGGAGAUAAUAGAUUUAUGUAUCAUAUCAGCCAAUGUAAGUCAUCAUUUUCUAUAACUUGCAGCUGAAAGCCAUCUGAUAUGAUCCUACAAACAAAGGCACACUAUGUGCCAAACUCUAUGUCCAAGAUUGUUUACUGCAGCCUAGUUAAUAACAGCUAAAAACUGGAAACCCAAAAGUCCAUCCUGGCUGAGUAAAUUAGGGUCCAUCCAUAUUACAGAAUGCUAAGCAGCUCUUAAAAAGGGAGAGGGGUUCUAUAUGUGCUGAUAUGAAAAAAAUGUCCACGAUACGUGAUUAGUUGACAAAAAACAGAGUACAGAACAGUAUAUGUAGUAGGAUCUCACUUGUGUAAAAUAUACACACAUGCUUUUAUCCACAUCUUGGGUAGGGAUGACAGCAUCUAACUAGGCAGAGCAGAUGCAUAAGGACAUCACAUGCCUGUUUCUGGAACUAAGGAGCAUACAGAAUUGGAUAAGAGCAAACGGCAACAGGAUUAACGAGCACCCGUACACCCACAUAGAUACAAUUCUGGAAGGAUGCCAUAAAAUUGCUAACAAUGAGCCAGGCGCGGUGGCUCAUGCCUGUGAUCCUAGCACUUUGGGAAGCCGAGGUAGGAAGAUCACGAGGUCAGGAGUUCGAGACCAGCCUGGCCAACACAGUGAAACCCUGUCUCUACUAAAAAUACAAAAAAAAAAAAAAAAAAAAAAAAAAAAACUAGCCAGGCAUGGUGGCGGGCACCUGUAAUCCCAACUACUUGGGAGCUGAGGCAGGAGAAUCGCUUGAACUCGGGAGGCAGAGAUUGCAGUGAGCCAAGAUCACGCCAUUGCACUCCAGCCUGAGCGACAGUUCGAGACUUUUGUCUCAAAAAAAAAAAAAAAAUUUGCUAACAAUGGCUACAACUCGGGAGUGGCAAGUGGGAGGUGAAUUAGUUUUCAUUCAACGGCCUCUAUACUGUUCGAAUUUUUUACCAUAGCAUGUACUACGUUUAUCUUUUUUUUUUUUUUUUUUUUUUUUUUAAUGAGACAGGGUCUCACUCUGUCACCCAGGCUGGAGUGCAGUGGCACAAUCAUGGCUCACUACAUCCUGUAUCUUCUGGGCUCAAGCAAGCUCCCACCUCAGCCUCCGGAGCAGCUGGGACCACAGGUAUGUGCCACCACACCUGAAUAAUUUUUUUUUGCUUGUUUUUUUUUGAUAGAAGGUCUCACCGUGUUGCCCAGGCUGGCCUCAAACUCUUGAACUUAAGCAAUCCUCUUGACUUGGCCUCCUAAUGUGCUGGGAUUACAGGCGUGAGACACUGCAUCCAGCCUAUAAUUUCUUAAAUCAAGAUGAAAAAUACUUUCAAAAUGUUCAAAGGAUUCAAUUAUAACACUUCACAGAAAUUCAAAUGGCAAAUAUAUAUAGAAAAAUCACUGCCUAGAAAUUCAUUCAAAUCAUCUACAAUCUUUCUAGCUACUGAUAGUGAUAUGAAUUAGGGGACUACACAUUAAUAUUAAUAUAGCCUAAGUAAAAUAAAUUUUAAAAGAUACAAUCCAAAUGCACACAUGUGCUCUCCAAAGCCAAAUAGCUUUUUCCAGUGAUCCACAUGGCUGUUACCUGCCAGGGAUGAGAGUUGCCCGUGAUGCUUGGAGAAUAACUUUGGGAAGAUCCAGGUUCUGCUUGGCCUCCCAGGUUUACUUUUAAAGCCCAGCUUGCAUGUGGGGCACUUCAUCAGAAUUACUGAGUGAAUAUGCUGUCUUUGGUAUUUCUUCAAGUUCGAAAAUUAUACCUCCCUUGGAGUUAUUUUUGCCAACAACUUUUUCUUUUUUUUUUUUUUGAGACAAAGUCUUACUCUGUCACCCAUGCUGGAGUGCAAUGGCACCAUCUCGGCUCACGGCAAUCUCUGCCUCCCAGGUUCAAGCCAUUCUCCUGCCUCAGCCUCCCAAGUGGCUGGGAUUACAGGCACAUGCUACCAUGAAGGCUAAUUUUUGUAUUUUUAGUAGAGACGGGGUUUCACCAUGUUGGCCAGGCUGGUCUCAAACUCCUGACCUCAAGUGAUCCGCCCACCUUGGCCUCCCCAAGUGCUGGGAUUACAGGUGUAAGUCACCGUACCUGGCCUUGCCACCAACUUUUAAUCCACCCUUCUAAAGCAUUCAGGAUAGAAAAAAAAUGGACAUCAUCUUAUUUCUGACAAGUUCUUUGCUGAAAAGCUUUGCUCUCAUGGAGCACAUCCCACCUGUUCUAUAAAAGCCCUAAUAUUACCCAAUUUCUAUUCUUUCCUCAAUAAGCAUUUGGAGAGCUCUGUUCAUUCUUGAAAUAGCACUCCCUGUCCUUACUGCCUCUACCAAUUUGUCUGAGAGUGGUGAUUUUUUUUUAAAUACCUUCCUAUCCCUUGCAAAGCCCUUUGAUAAACUGGCAAUAAAGACAGUAUCAGUAGCUUGUUAUGACAAUAUUAGUUACAAUAUUGUUUAAUAGCUUUUUAGAGCCUAGCACAGCCCAGAACAUAAAAGGAACUUUAAAGAAAAAAAGAAAUAGUCAUUCAAUGGUUUAUUCAAGAUGUACCGAUUGAAAAGCUGGACGAGUCAAAAAUAUUAUCAGUAUAGUUCUCUUGACAGUAAGUGGGACCAGCCUAGCACACACUUUCUCUGCCAACAUCCCCCCACUGUCCUCGCUAGGAAGUGUGGUCCAUUAAGUCCUUGAAUCCUCAUAAGAGUGACUUUAGAGUUGUAACUAUAGAGACAAACAAAGGUAUGAGAGUUACGAAGAUCCAAGCAAAUGUUCUCAAAAUGUCUCGAAAGCCUGUACUUGGGACAGGCAAGGAGAAAGAACAGAAUUCACAAUUUCAUCAGGCAGUGAAGAAAUUUGUUUAAAAAAAAAAAAAAAAAAAAAGCUGCAAACCUGAACUAGAUGGUGCAGAAUUCAAAUGGAAAGAAGAUGUGAAGGAAUUUCGUAAGUCUGUCAGGAAAAAACACAAACCAACAACUGUACGAUAUGGACACUGAAUAUCCUCUGACAUUGCAAAGACCCUAAACUAGGCUCCCUGUGCCCAGUGGUGGCCUGGACAAAUGACCCUGCACAUGUGCAUCCCAUAGGUCUCUUGGCCUGGAUGAAAGUCUCUGGCAGCAGCUGCAGCCCAUAGAGAUGGUCAACAUCUCAUAGUCAUAUACUGUCUUGGAAACUUCAGACUACAACACCAGCACUUCCUCAGGCUCCCCUUCCUCCAAGCACAGCAUGAGCCAAUGCAGAAUGCUCAUUUUGGCCUUAUUUUAAAGGUGGAAGUGGAAGGGUGGCACCAUGGUUUUCAUAAUCAAGGGUGCCAGCUAGCCUACUUUUCUAGAACCUGAGAUCACUGGGGGAUGGGCGGAAGCUUAGAGGCCAUCGGCAUCUUUCAGAGAUGAAGAAAGCAAAGCCCAGGGAGGCAAAGGGAGUUCGCCGUGGGCAUGCCAGAGGCAGCGGCAGAGCCAGAACAAGAACCCAGUGCUCUCUCAGCUGCGCAUGGUGGUGCACGCCUGUAAUCAAAGGAAGCCAAGGUGGGAGGAUCACCUGAGGUCAGGAGUUUGAGACCAUCCUGGCCAACAUGGUGAAACUCUGUCUCUACUAAAAAUACAAAAAUUUGUUGGGCAUGGUAUGCCUGUAAUCCCAGCUACUCUGGAGGCUGAGGCAGGAGAAUCGCUUGAACCCAGGAGUUGGAGGUUAUGGUGAGCCAAAAUUGCACCACUGCACUCUAGCCUGGGCAACAGAGUGAGACUCUGUCUCAAGCCAAAUAAUAAUAAUAAUAAUAAUAAUAGCACAGAGAGAAAUGUGCUGGGUGACCUGCGCAGUGUCGUCCCGGCCUUUCCAGGGUGGAGGGAAUACAGUGGCAUUCAACAGACACCUUGUAACUCAUCACAGAUGUCCAUGAGAAGCCACAUGGAUGGAAUCUGAGUCCAGGCACACAUUUUCCAGAGAAAGAAAAGAAGUUGCUGUGGGUAGAAAGGAGUUUUGAGGCUCCAUGGAGACAGGCUUUAGACGGAAAAAAGACAUUUUAGAAAAUGCAGUGUAGAAAGCUCCCACACAUCCAGCCCACUAAGUCUCUGAAUGUGAGGAAUUUUUGGCUGCCUUCUGACUUAAAAAAAAAAAAAGAAAGGAAGGAAGAAAAGCUUUAAAACAGAGAUACCUUUAAAAGAAAAAAAAAAUCUUUCUGAAAGAAUUAUCUGCUAUUUCAGGUAAUUUUAAAACUAUGAAAUAAGAAAUUCCCCUUCCUGAGGCAAACUAAGGCAGUGACGUCUUACCAGUGAGUGUUGGUGAAAUAGAAUCAGAGAAGCUGUAUCCACCUGUAAGAUGCCAGGCGAGGAGACGAGAACAGCUGUUCAUCAGCUCUCUCUCCAUAUGUAAAUCUUCAGUGGCGUAUCAUGAGCAAAACCUCUGUGUUUUAGGGCUGUCCCCAGUCGUCUGCUGUGGUGAAGACUCAGCUUUGAGCUGAGAGGCAGAGAGAAGCAGCAGAACCAUGUGCCCACCCCUCGACCCCCUGCAGGGCCUCACAUCACCGCUUCUACAAACACGGAGUGCGUGUCUACUGUAUGCCAGGCACUGUUCUUGGCACUUUAGACGCUUCUAUGGAAAGGGAUUACACUUCCCACUUCCUCCCUCAUUCACCGUCUCCCUCACUUCCAAGACUAUUCCUGAAGUCUCCCUUCAAUCUGCCGUUCAGUACUGUGAGCCGACCUCCUUUCACUUUGGCGCUGAUGCCAAACAGCUAACCCCACGGGCUCUCUAAAACAUAUGUCCUUGAAAGCUGUUGUAUCUGUAACUUCUGGGCCAAAAAAUACGGAUCCCACAGCCUUUCUUCUUUCUCAUGGACCUGAUUUCCCAACGCUAUAUCCUCACUGGUGCUCUCAUGAAAAUUUAUUUCCAGAACUUCAUGUCCACAAUUUGACAAAUGGUUUUGCUCUGAUUCUGACGUGGGCGUGCACCUACGUGGUCUCCUGCUAUCCAGGCUAACUAUGGUGCGCUUGUGCUUAUUACUCCUCAUUCUCCAAUUCUCCAAAGUACUUGAGUUGUACCACCAUUUCCACCUGAAUUGUGAAGGUAAUGACCACUUCAAGCUAAGACAAUUCCCACUGCAAACUGCAUUCUAUUGGCCGGGCACGGUGGCUCACACCUGUAAUCCCAGCACUUUGGGAGGCCAAGGUGGGUGGACCAUUUGAGGUCAGGAGUUUGAGACCAGCCUGGACAAGAUGGUGAAACCCUGCCUCUAUUAAAAAUAUAAAAAUUAGCCAGACACAGUGGUGAGUGCCUGUAGUCCCAGCUAGUUGGGAGGCUGAGGCAGGAGAACCACUUGAACCUAGGAGGUAGAGGUUAUAGUGAGCCAAGAUCGCACCACUGCACUCCAGCCUGGGCGACACAGCGAGACUCUAUCUCAAAACAAGCAAACAAACAACAACAACAAAACUCCAUUCUAUUACUAGCUAUUAAUAAAAUAUCCAACAAACUGGCCAGGCGCAGUGGCUCACGUCUGUAAUCCCAGCACUUUGGGAGGCUGAGGAGAGCAGAUCACUUGAGGUCAGGAGUUCGAGACCAGCCUGGCCAACAUGGCAAAACCCCAUCUCUACUAAAAAUACAAAAAUUAGCUGGACAUGGUGGUGGGUGCCUGUAAUCCCAGCUACUUGGGAGGCUGAGGCAGGAGAAUUGCUUGAACCCAGGAGGUGGAGGUUGCCAUGAGCCGAGAUCACACCACUGCACUCCAGCCUGGGUGACAGAGCGAGACUCCAUCUCAAAAAAAAAAGAAAUAAAAUAUAAAUAUAUAUAUAUGUAUAUAUCUCUCCAACAAACUACAUAUCUAAAGCUAAUCUUCCUACCACCCUUCCCGAUGUCACACUAAUGCACCAAUUGCACACAUAUCUAAUGACUGUGUGGUCUAAACCAGUGGCCACACAUCAGAGAUGCCUGGAAAGCUUUAAUUUUUUUUUUUUUUUUUUUACCAUGAACAUGCAGGAAGGAAAGUCCUUUUUAGCAUUUUAUUUUGAAAUAAUUAUAGACUCACAAGGAACUCCAAAAAUAGUGCAGAGAGUACUCAACCUUUUACUUUCUCUCUUUGUUUUCUUAUUUUCCUUAACCUUAACCUUUUUUUCACAUCUCUUAUCUUCUAUGUAAGAAAGUACCAGCACCCAACUUCCCCCAGGAGGGACAUCUCACAUAACCAAAGGAGGUUGGCUGCAUAGGGCAAUGAGCUAGACUACAGAUCCUACCCUGAUGGCAAGAGUUUUUGCAUGCAUUUGUUUAUUUGAUAUAUCCUUAUGCACAAUUAUAUGACAUCUUCUCACACAGAUUUAUCGAGAUGCAUUUCUGUCCCAUCCACACAAAGGAGCUCUCCUUACUGCCCUUACAGCCCCCAACCCCCACUCUCUCCUCCCUGGCAACCAUUUGUCUGUUCUCCAUCUCUGUAUGAUGUCACUGUGAGAAUGUUAUAUAAAUGGCACCAUACAGUAACCUUUUGAGAUUGGCUUUUUUUCAUUCAUUGAAAGCUUUUAAUAAAUCACAUGUUCUAAGUUUCAUCACUACCCCUACCACCUCACCCUAAGCCCUAGGAUUCUGAUUCAGUCGAUCUAAGGUGGGAUCCAGAAAAUGGCAUAUUCAAAAGCUGCCCAAGGAAUCCUUACCCACUGCAGCUUCUGAGCCACUGGCCUGGACCAUCUCCUCCAGCUAACGGAUGUCUGUGGUGUUAAAGAUGGAAUCAAGGCCAGGCGCGGUGGC
rnacentral:lncRNA from 1 species